GGAGGAAAGCAGGGGAUCGCAAGACCUUGCGCUUUUGGAGUGGCCGAUGCCUGAUUAGCUAGUUGGUGGGGUAAGAGCCUACCAAGGCGACGAUCAGUAGUUGGUCUGAGAGGACGACCAGCCACACUGGGACUGAGACACGGCCCAGACUCCUACGGGAGGCAGCAGUGGGGAAUUUUGGACAAUGGGCGAAAGCCUGAUCCAGCAAUGCCGCGUGAGUGAAGAAGGCCUUCGGGUUGUAAAGCUCUUUCAGUCGAGAAGAAAAGGUCGCGACUAAUAAUCGCGACUCAUGACGGUAUCGACAGAAGAAGCACCGGCUAACUACGUGCCAGCAGCCGCGGUAAUACGUAGGGUGCGAGCGUUAAUCGGAAUUACUGGGCGUAAAGGGUGCGCAGGCGGCUUUGUAAGUCAGAUGUGAAAUCCCCGGGCUUAACCUGGGAAUUGCGUUUGAAACUACAAAGCUAGA
rnacentral:rRNA from 1 species